rnacentral:rRNA from 1 species
GAUGAACGCUGGCGGCGUGCCUAAUACAUGCAAGUCGAGCGAACGGACGAGAAGCUUGCUUCUCUGAUGUUAGCGGCGGACGGGUGAGUAACACGUGGAUAACCUACCUAUAAGACUGGGAUAACUUCGGGAAACCGGAGCUAAUACCGGAUAAUAUUUUGAACCGCAUGGUUCAAAAGUGAAAGACGGUCUUGCUGUCACUUAUAGAGGGAUCCGCGCUGCAUUAGCUAGUUGGGAAGGUAACGGCUUACCAAGGCAACGAUGCAUAGCCGACGUGAGAGGGUGAUCGGCCACACUGGAACUGAAACACGGACCAGACUCCUACGGGAGGCAGCAGUAGGGAAUCUUCCGCAAUGGGCGAAAGCCUGACGGAGCAACGCCGCGUGAGUGAUGAAGGUCUUCGGAUCGUAAAACUCUGUUAUUAGGGAAGAACAUAUGUGUAAGUAACUGUGCACAGCUUGACGGUACCUAAUCAGAAAGCCACGGCUAACUACGUG